GAUGGCAUGUAGGUAAUUGGAUAUAUGACUCUGGACUUGAGAGGCAAGGGUCAGGCUGUUGAUGUAUAAAAUUGGUAGUCAUGACAUCUUAGUGGUCCUUUAUUUUAGUUGGCAGAAGUGGAGGGACCUGCAAAUCUGACAGAAAGGAGUAGCUUCUGGGGAGAAAUGUGGUGCCUCUGAGGUCAAGCAAAUGAAGUGAAUUGUGUUAACAAUGCUGAAAAUUUGAGUAAAAUGACAACUGAGAAUUGACUGUCGGUUUUGACAAAAGGGGAGUUCACUGGUGAUCUUCACAAUUCAGUCUUUAUACCUAUCUAAAAUAGCAUCUCAUCAGUCUCUGCCUCUUUAUACAGACUUAGGCCUUUUUUCAUGUUUAUAAUUAGCUGACAGUACAUGUGUAUAUCUGUGAUGCAUAUGAUGUGUUUGGCUAUCUUCCUGCAGCUAUAUGAUAUGACCUUUGAGAGGAGGAGGAAAUUUGUCUUGUUCCCAUUUGAAUCUCUGGUGAUUAAAAGCUGUUUGUGGAAAGAAUGGCUUACAAUGCUAGCCCAGGGUAAAAAAAAUUGA
rnacentral:lncRNA from 1 species